rnacentral:lncRNA from 1 species
CUUACAAUUUUUAUAUACAUAGUGAGCUUCUAGUAAUCCCCUAGAAGGAGUCUCUAAUGUUAAUAUUUCCUCUAAAGGUUUCGGCAUAAUAUCUACUUUACAAGUAAGUGCACAAGAGAUAAAAGAAUGAGUAGCACCCAUAUCGAUCAAAGCCUUGGUAGAAGCAUUAUGAAUAGAAAUAACCUGGAUAAGAAUGGGAGUGGGGAGAGCAUCAGGUACAUCUAGGUGGUACACACGAUGCUAUACCACAGGUCUUGCCACGUCUUUUGGUCACUGAGGGCAGUUCUU